GACGAACGCUGGCGGCGUGCUUAACACAUGCAAGUCGUACGGUAAGGCCCUUUCGGGGGUACACGAGUGGCGAACGGGUGAGUAACACGUGAGUAACCUGCCCACAACUUUGGGAUAACGCUAGGAAACUGGUGCUAAUACUGGAUAUGUGCUCCUGCUGCAUGGUGGGGGUUGGAAAGCUCCGGCGGUUGUGGAUGGACUCGCGGCCUAUCAGCUUGUUGGUGGGGUAGUGGCCUACCAAGGCGGCGACGGGUAGCCGGCCUGAGAGGGUGACCGGCCACAUUGGGACUGAGAUACGGCCCAGACUCCUACGGGAGGCAGCAGUGGGGAAUAUUGCACAAUGGGCGCAAGCCUGAUGCAGCAACGCCGCGUGCGGGAGGACGGCCUUCGGGUUGUAAACCGCUUUCAGCAGGGACGAAGCUUUUUGUGACGGUACCUUCAGAAGAAGCACCGGCUAACUACGUG
rnacentral:rRNA from 1 species